rnacentral:lncRNA from 1 species
UAUGCAGUGAUGUCACCGUAUAGUCAGUCAUGCUGAUCAGGAAAGAAACGAUGGGACCGAUCUCCAUUUGACCACCAUCUUCCCACCGAUGCUGAGCCACUGCCCAUUGCUACAUCAGUGGGUCAUGUCCACCAGCUGUGAGAGCAAAAUAUUCCAGCAGUCCACAGCAGAGUCUAGAGGAUCCAGGAGAUGAAGAACAGACUCCAAAUCUAAUCAGAGGGCCAAAGGGUUUGGUGAUACUCACAUGGCAAGAGGACCAUGCAGUGCCCUAUGGACUUGGAAGAUAAACAAGCAAGGAGGAAACCAGCAAACCUGUUACUCUCCUCUGUGUUCUGGGGCCAUAGUCAUACAUGCAACUCCAUUCUGAACAGUCUGCUGGGCAGGAAUGGAGGAAUCCUCAGCGAAGUCCUAGGUUAAGAUCACAGACUACAAAAUCCAGCAGGACACAGAUGCUGCCCUUGAAGAUCUGUUCACAUUUUACUGAGGAAAAAAUAAACCCAAGAAGUAAUAGCUAUGGAUUUUGUGAUAAGCAAUAUGUUCAAAAACCAUCAAGGUGCUACAGGGGCAAAAGAUGCUGACAUUCGAACAGGGAGGAAGUAAGCAGUUAGGAUGGUCCUAAUAAAUUACCUGCACACAUUCUGACAUGGAAGCAAAUAUGAUGGUAAUAUUUUGGUGAAUAGACAUUAAACUGUGGCUCAUGCAGAUGAUGGAAUCAGCAUUUGGUGGGUUUAGGCAGGAGAUAAUACUAAAGAAGCA